rnacentral:rRNA from 1 species
UACGGAGGGUGCAAGCGUUAUCCGGAUUCACUGGGCGUAAAGCGCGCGUAGGCGGCCCGGUAAGUCCGCUCUGAAAGUCCAGGGCUCAACCCUGGAAAGCGGGUGGAUACUGCCGGGCUAGAAUCCGGAAGAGGCGAGUGGAAUUCCUGGUGUAGCGGUGGAAUGCGCAGAUAGUCAGGAGGAACACCAAUAGCGAAGGCAGCUCGCUGGGACGGUACUGACGCUAAGGCGCGAAAGCGUGGGGAGCGAACAGGA